GGAAGCAAUUCCGGCCGGGGAUGAGCAUGCGGCGCAUUAGCUAGUUGGCGGGGUAACGGCCCACCAAGGCGACGAUGCGUAGGGGUUCUGAGAGGAAGGUCCCCCACACUGGUACUGAGACACGGACCAGACUCCUACGGGAGGCAGCAGUGAGGAAUAUUGGUCAAUGGGCGGGAGCCUGAACCAGCCAAGUCGCGUGAGGGAAGACGGUCCUAUGGAUUGUAAACCUCUUUUGUCGGGGAGCAAAGACGCCUACGCGUAGGCGGAUGAGAGUACCCGAAGAAAAAGCAUCGGCUAACUCCGUGCCAGCAGCCGCGGUAAUACGGAGGAUGCGAGCGUUAUCCGGAUUUAUUGGGUUUAAAGGGUGCGUAGGCGGGGUGUUAAGUCAGCGGUAAAAUUGAGGGGCUCAACCCCUUCGAGCCGUUGAAACUGGCAUUCUUGAGUGAAUGAGAAGUAUGCGGAAUGCGUGGUGUAGCGGUGAAA
rnacentral:rRNA from 1 species